rnacentral:lncRNA from 1 species
UUAAAGUUUAUAAUCUUGUAAAUUAACAUGUAAAAUAAUUUUAUAAUCUGUUUUAUUGUUAUUGUAGAAAUAUUUCGUAAUUUAUUCUAUUAAUAGUGGUAUGUGAUUAAGAGAGAACAGGAGGAAGAUUGUUGGGAUAGACUAUAGAGAUAAGGUGGAGGGGUUCCGGUUCAGUUCAUAUAUUAAAUUCUUUGUCAUCCGUAUUUUAGUUUUCCUGGUCAUUAUUAGAGAAAUAUUUCAUAAUUUAUUAAUUCUGUUAAUUAAUAAUAUUAUGUGAUUAAGAGGGAACAGGAUAAAAUAUCCUGUGAUUAGAGAAAGAUCGCUCGGAUAGA